rnacentral:lncRNA from 1 species
AAGUGAAGAUUUGGAGAGAUUGUUGCGAGUAGGUUAACGUACUGAUUCAAUGGCAUAUCUUUAGUACCUAUUGCUGUAAACACAACUGUCUGCUGCUUUCUUUAUUCUCUGUAGUACGGGGCUCACUCACUUCAUAACCCAGGUUGGUCUGGAACUCAGAGGUGUGUAGCUACUCUGAACUGAAACAUACUGCCAUUUCACCUCAGCCUCCUCAGUGCUGGUAUGACAAGCAGCCACGUGUAAUUUGGUUCUUCUUUUCUCUGCUAUGUUCUCUCAUUUGAGGGAUGCACAUGUGUGAUCAGAACACAUAGGUGACACAUAAUUGCCUUUAGGACUUUUUUAGGUUUUAAUUUUAUUUCUAAGUACAUUGAAUUGCAUUAAAUGUCAUAAAGGAAAGGAACUUGAAUGUAAAAUAUUACACAAGCUAGGAAAGAAACCAAACAAUUGAAGAAAAAUGUGAGGCCAACUGAGAGGCAUCAUUACCACGCUGCUCAGCUCUCAGAGAGAAGGUAGAGGAAGGAUUAAGAUGGUGGGCAUUGGUUUGUGUGCAGUGGGAAACCCACAGAAGCAAAGGUCAUAAGGUUAUGAUGUUUGGAGAAUUUAAAUAUCUAUUAUAAUUUUUAAGUGGGCAGGAUCCCAUGUAACCCAUUUGGUUUCAAGCUCACUAUGUAGCCAAGGAUGGUCUUGAUAUUCUGCUUCUCCUACCUUUAUCUCCUCAGUGGCAGGGUUUCAGGUUUGUGCUACCAUGCCUAUAUUGUAUAGUGUUAGGAAUUAAACCUAAGUUUUUAUUUAUGCUAGAGGAGCAGUCAACCAACUGAGAUACAUGCCCAGUCUUCUGGAACAAAGUAUUCAGGACCGUUUGCAUGAGCCCUUACAAGGUAUUGGCUCCUCCAAGGAGUCUUUUUAUCUUUUUUGUGCUUCAAGGACACCCAUUUCAAAAUAAUAUAUAUUAGCUCUAGAUUCCCUAUAAUUCAACUUAAAAUAUAUUUCUUAUUCACAUCUAUUGUGGUUUGAAUGAAAAUGGCCUCCAUAGACUCAUAGGGAGUGGCACUAUUAGGAGUUGUGGCCUUUUCAGAGGAAGUCAAACCAGUCUUUCAGGUUUCAGAUGGUCAAACUAGGACAUAUGUUAUGUCACGCUUCCUCUUGGCUGCCUGUUGAUCCAGAUUU